UACGAAGGGUGCAAGCGUUGUUCGGAAUCACUGGGCGUAAAGGGCGCGUAGGCGGGUUUAUAAGUCACAUGUGAAAUCCCUAGGCUUAACCUGGGACGUGCAUGUGAUACUGUAAGUCUUGAAUGUCUGAGAGGGAGGCGGAAUUCCAGGUGUAGAAGUGAAAUUCGUAGAUAUCUGGAGGAACAUCCGAGGCGAAGGCGGCCUCCUGGCAGAACAUUGACGCUAAGGCGCGAAAGUGCGGGGAGCAAACAGG
rnacentral:rRNA from 1 species